AUUGAACGCUGGCGGCAGGCCUAACACAUGCAAGUCGAGCGGAUGAAGGGAGCUUGCUCCUGGAUUCAGCGGCGGACGGGUGAGUAAUGCCUAGGAAUCUGCCUGGUAGUGGGGGAUAACGUCCUGAAACGGGCGCUAAUACCGCAUACGUCCUGAGGGAGAAAGUGGGGGAUCUUCGGACCUCACGCUAUCAGAUGAGCCUAGGUCGGAUUAGCUAGUUGGUGGGGUAAAGGCCUACCAAGGCGACGAUCCGUAACUGGUCUGAGAGGAUGAUCAGUCACACUGGAACUGAGACACGGUCCAGACUCCUACGGGAGGCAGCAGUGGGGAAUAUUGGACGAUGGGCGAAAGCCUGAUACAGCCAUGCCGCGUGUGUGAAGAAGGUCUUCGGAUUGUAAAGCACUUUAAGUUGGGAGGAAGGGCAGUAAGUUAAUACCUUGCUGUUUUGACGUUACCAACAGAAUAAGCACCGGCUAACUUCGUG
rnacentral:rRNA from 1 species